rnacentral:rRNA from 1 species
AUACGUAGGUGGCAAGCGUUGUCCGGAUUUAUUGGGCGUAAAGCGAGCGCAGGCGGUCUCUUAAGUCUGAUGUGAAAGCCCCCGGCUCAACCGGGGAGGGUCAUUGGAAACUGGGAGACUUGAGUGCAGAAGAGGAGAGUGGAAUUCCAUGUGUAGCGGUGAAAUGCGUAGAUAUAUGGAGGAACACCAGUGGCGAAGGCGACUCUCUGGUCUGUAACUGACGCUGAGGCUCGAAAGCGUGGGGAGCAAACAGGAUUAGAUACCCUGGUAGUCCACGCCGUAAACGAUGAGUGCUAAGUGUUGGAGGGUUUCCGCCCUUCAGUGCUGCAGCUAACGCAUUAAGCACUCCGCCUGGGGAGUACGACCGCAAGGUUGAAACUCAAAUGAAUCGACGGGG